rnacentral:misc_RNA from 1 species
GAAAUGCGAUAAGUAAUGUGAAUUGCAGAAUUCCGUGAAUCAUCGAAUCUUUGAACGCACAUUGCGCCCUCUGGCAUUCCGGGGGGCAUGCCUGUCCGAGCGUCAUUACGCACCCUCAAGCCCGGCUUGUGUGAUGGGCCCCGGCGUCUCGUUCGCGAGACGGGCCCGAAAGGCAGCGGCGGCGUCGACCCGAUAAGCCCGAGCGUAUGGGGACUUCUGUCACACGUUCGCGGUGCGGACCGGCGCCUGCUUUGACUUUUCUGAUUAUCCAGGUUGACCUCGGAUCAGGUAGGGAUACCCGCUGAACUUAAGC